UGCAGUCGAACGAUGAACCACUUCGGUGGGGAUUAGUGGCGAACGGGUGAGUAACACGUGGGCAAUCUGCCCUGCACUCUGGGACAAGCCCUGGAAACGGGGUCUAAUACCGGAUACGACCAUCUUGGGCAUCCUUGAUGGUGGAAAGCUCCGGCGGUGCAGGAUGAGCCCGCGGCCUAUCAGCUUGUUGGUGAGGUAAUGGCUCACCAAGGCGACGACGGGUAGCCGGCCUGAGAGGGCGACCGGCCACACUGGGACUGAGACACGGCCCAGACUCCUACGGGAGGCAGCAGUGGGGAAUAUUGCACAAUGGGCGAAAGCCUGAUGCAGCGACGCCGCGUGAGGGAUGACGGCCUUCGGGUUGUAAACCUCUUUCAGCAGGGAAGAAGCGAAAGUGACGGUACCUGCAGAAGAAGCGCCGGCUAACUACGUGCCAGCAGCCGCGGUAAUACGUAGGGCGCAAGCGUUGUCCGGAAUUAUUGGGCGUAAAGAGCUCGUAGGCGGCUUGUCACGUCGGUUGUGAAAGCCCGGGGCUUAACCCCGGGUCUGCAGUCGAUACGGGCAGGCUAGAGUUCGGUAGGGGAGAUCGGAAUUCCUGGUGUAGCGGUGAAAUGCGCAGAUAUCAGGAGGAACACCGGUGGCGAAGGCGGAUCUCUGGGCCGAUACUGACGCUGAGGAGCGAAAGCGUGGGGAGCGAACAGGAUUAGAUACCCUGGUAGUCCACGCCGUAAACGGUGGGCACUAGGUGUGGGCAACAUUCCACGUUGUCCGUGCCGCAGCUAACGCAUUAAGUG
rnacentral:rRNA from 1 species